rnacentral:rRNA from 1 species
UUGAACGCUGGCGGCAUGCUUUACACAUGCAAGUCGAACGGCAGCGGGGGCUUCGGCCUGCCGGCGAGUGGCGAACGGGUGAGUAAUGCAUCGGAACGUACCCAGUCGUGGGGGAUAACUACGCGAAAGCGUAGCUAAUACCGCAUACGCCCUGAGGGGGAAAGCGGGGGACCUUCGGGCCUCGCGCGAUUGGAGCGGCUGAUGUCGGAUUAGCUAGUUGGUGGGGUAAAGGCCUACCAAGGCGACGAUCCGUAGCUGGUCUGAGAGGAUGAUCAGCCACACUGGGACUGAGACACGGCCCAGACUCCUACGGGAGGCAGCAGUGGGGAAUUUUGGACAAUGGGCGCAAGCCUGAUCCAGCCAUGCCGCGUGAGUGAAGAAGGCCUUCGGGUUGUAAAGCUCUUUCAGGAGGGAAGAUGGAGUGGGUAACCACUUGGACGGUACCUCCAGAAGCAGCCACGGCUAACUUCGU